UUGAUCCUGGCUCAGAACGAACGCUGGCGGUGUGCUUAAUACAUGCAAGUCGAGCGAGAAAGUAUCUUCGGAGUGCGAGUACAGCGGCGAACGGGUGAGUAACACGUAAGAAACCUGCCCCUAAGUUCGGGACAACCCUGCUAACGCGGGGCUAAUACCGGAUGUGGAUUUUUUACUGCAUGGUAAAAAAUCUAAAGGAUUUAUUCGCUUAGGGAUGGUCUUGCGGACCAUUAGUUUGUUGGUGGGGUAACGGCCUACCAAGACCGUGAUGGUUAGCCGACCUGAGAGGGUGAUCGGCCACAUUGGGACUGAGAUACGGCCCAGACUCCUACGGGAGGCAGCAGUAGGGAAUUUUGCGCAAUGGACGAAAGUCUGACGCAGCAACACCGCGUGAGGGAUGAAGGUUUUCGGAUUGUAAACCUCUGUUGAGUGGGAAGAAACGGCUUCGGCCUUGACGGUACCACUCGAGGAAGCCCCGGCUAAAUACGUGCCAGCAGCCGCGGUAAUACGUAUGGGGCAAGCGUUGUUCGGAAUCACUGGGCGUAAAGGGAGCGUAGGCGGAUUAGUAAGUUAGGGGUGUAAUCUCCGGGCUCAACCCGGAGCUUGCCUUUAAUACUGUUAGUCUUGAGUAGUGGAGAGGAAGACGGAAUUCCAGGUGUAGCGGUGGAAUGCGUAGAUAUCUGGAAGAACACCAGGUGCGAAGGCGGUCUUCUGGCCACAUACUGACGCUGAGGCUCGAAAGUGUGGGGAGCGAACAGGAUUAGAUACCCUGGUAGUCCACACCGUAAACGAUGGACACUAGAUGUCGGAAUCGCAAGGUUUCGGUGUCGUAGCUAACGCGUUAAGUGUCCCGCCUGGGGAGUACGCUCGGCAGAGUGAAACUCACGGGACUUGACGGGGGCCCGCACAAAGCGGUUGGAGCAUGUGCCUUUAUUCGACGCAA
rnacentral:rRNA from 1 species